GGCAAGAUGGCCGAGCGGUCUAAGGCGCUGGAAUCAGGUAGCCUCGUAGUGGGGUUGUCUAAUCCAGUCCGAAAGGGCGCGAGUUCAAAUCUCGCUCUUGUCA